CUAACAUUUCAAAAUCACGGAAUUUCGAUGCGGAGCUUUCACAUUUUUUUCCAUCCAAAAAUUGCAGUUUUUCAAUUUUAAGAGACUGCGCCAAAAAUGUUUCAGGAACAGAAUUUAAAAAGCAUUAAAUGUGAGAUUGUAUUCAACAUUCCCGAAAAAUCUAUGAAAAGUCAGGGGAUGUUGAAAUCCAAGGAGGCUUGUCACUCUGAACUUCGUAUCACCCCCUCUCUCCCUCUUUCUCUCAAAGUACAUAGCAGUCACUAUUCUUUGACCUUUUCCUAUGAAUAUCGAAAAAAAGGAGAAAGGUCGACAUCCGAGAUGCGGAAGCGAAAGAACCGAAGGACUUGACGUCCUCAAGACAGAUAAUGCCCAAUGCAACUAUUAAGAAAAGCAAUUCUCCGGCGACGUCGCCGACCAUGUCCAACUCGUCGUCACCGACGCCGACCCCGACGCCGACGACGCCGCUCUACAACCACAAAAUCGCCGGCAUCCCCUGCGUCGCCGCCGCCUCCAGAUACACAGCCCCCGUCCACAUAGACGUAGGCGGCACCAUCUACACUUCCUCACUGGAGACACUCACAAAGUAAGUUCCCACUCCAACAACUCUCCUUCAAUAAUAAGCAGGGUUCCACAGUCAGGGAAUACCGGGAACUGUCAGGGAUUUUUUAAGAAGUCA
rnacentral:lncRNA from 1 species